rnacentral:tRNA from 1 species
GCUGGAAUGGCUCAGUUGGUAGAGCAACGCAUUCGUAAUGCGUGGGUCGAGGGUUCGAGUCCCUUUUCCAGCU